rnacentral:rRNA from 1 species
UGGCUGACGAGUGGCGGACGGGUGAGUAACGCGUAGGAAUCUACCUAGUAGUGGGGGACAACCUGGUGAAAACCAGGCUAAUACCGCAUACGCCCUACGGGGGAAAACAGGGGAUCUUCGGACCUUGUGCUAUUAGAUGAGCCUGCGUCGGAUUAGCUUGUUGGUAGGGUAAUGGCCUACCAAGGCGACGAUCCGUAGCUGGUCUGAGAGGAUGAUCAGCCACACUGGGACUGAGACACGGCCCAGACUCC